CUCUUAUGUGUACAAAAUAAACAAAGUGUUUAUUUUGUACACAUCAGAGGAGAAGAAAAAUACAAAUGUUUACAUAAUCAAAGAUAUAUACUCUACAACAGAAUUGUACACAAAUGUCAUAGAAUUUCUAAUGAAAUAGAAUAUACAAAUAUAAAAGAGAACAUUAACAUUGUAAUGUGU